rnacentral:rRNA from 1 species
CAGUCGCCGCGGUAAUACGUAGGGUGCGAGCGUUAAUCGGAAUUACUGGGCGUAAAGCGUGCGCAGGCGGUUUUGUAAGACAGGCGUGAAAUCCCCGGGCUCAACCUGGGAACUGCAUUUGUGACUGUAGAGCUGGAGUGCGGCAGAGGGGGAUGGAAUUCCGCGUGUAGCAGUGAAAUGCGUAGAUAUGCGGAGGAACACCGAUGGCGAAGGCAAUCCCCUGGGCCUGCACUGACGCUCAUGCACGAAAGCGUGGGGAGCAAACAGGAUUAGAUACCCCCGUAGUCCCUGUCUCUUAUAC